GCGAUGCUUGUCAUUUUAAACUGGUUUUCAAUUUAACUAUAAUUGUAACUGCAUCAUUUUCUGAUCACAUGCAAUAACCUAGCCAAGCCAUCAUAAUAAGGCGUUGUCAUGACUAUAGUCUAUGAAGGGGACGGCAUUUCACCCAGUACAAUAUCCUCACAUACUAGCCUACUGUAAAUAUUACUACAGUUCUGCUUGAUUUAAAGACAUUAAGAAACAAAGAUUUACUGGCUAUGAUAAGAUGUAUCAGAACUGUCAGUCUUAUUCAGUCAAAUUAAUACUCUCAGUAUUAUUGUCUAUAAUUUAUCAAUUGUGAAAAUUAUGAAAGAAUAGUGAUCCUCAAUUAUACAUAAUUCUUAAAUAUCAUACAAUAAAGUAUGAAAAUAACUUGCUGUUUACUAUAAUUUAUCUUUUGAUGUUUAUACUAAAAACAGAAGAUGACAGAAGACACAUCAGAUCAUGCCGAAGUGAAACAGUGAUGGAGAAAGCCCAAUCUCUGGAGGAAGACAUACAGUAUUCACAAAGAUUCAUCAGUGACUUCACCUGUGUCAGAUGGUAACUGAGAAGAAUCAGAUUCAGAAGAAUAAGAUACAGCAACAAUAAAGAUAAGCCGUGAGACCCAGCUGUCAUCAGUGAUGAUUGUGCUGCUCUUACUGUGGGACUACACCAGGUUGGACCCUCCACUCUCAAAAUGAACACUCUGUCCCAGUCAGAAGCCAGAGAUGUACAGAAGGUAUUGUUUUUCUUUUUGGAAAUCAAAUUAGGCAUGCGCUGAUAGGAAAAUUUGGGCCAAUUUUGAUAACCGAUAAUUCUUUAUAUUUGAAAGGCGAUAACUGAUACAUUGGCAGAUAAAUCUAAAUCCAAAUUUUAAUAUACAUUGAGAGCCUGAUUACAAAAACAAUAGACAGUGUCCCAAACACUUCAACAUAAAUCAAACAUAUACAGUACAGCAGUCUAGUUUGAACCAGUAUAAGAUUCCUUUACUUUUAAAAUGAUCUUUACACUACCGUUCAAAAGUUUGGGGUCAGUAAGAAUUUUUAAUGUUUUAAAAGAAGUAUCUUCUGCUCACCAAGCCUGCAUUUAUUUGAUUAAAAAUACAAA